UGGAUGAAGAUAGAGCAGUGGAGUUCGACACUAACAUGUAUCACUUUGGUGAAUAUGUACCUCCAGCGAGGCAGAGCAAGAGCAGAAGUGGUGCAAGAAGCAGGACAAGCUGCUCGCCAAGUGUUUCAAGGCUAUCAAGCUUCUGACAGAUAAGCUGAGUUGUUCCUCCUGCACCACUGCUAUUCCA